rnacentral:lncRNA from 1 species
GUGACUGUCAGUACAUAACCCAGAUUAUCAACUUUUGUUACCUGGAGGUUUAAAAGCAGCAGGAGCAAAAGGAACAUAAUGAAAGGAGCCCUACAGCAUCGGUCCUACCAGAAUUUUUCAAGGCCUGGGAGGACAGAAACCUGCGCGCUUCUUGGAGGCACACCCAUUGGUAGAGAAAUCUCUGGACAAGUUUGUCUCCCUGUGAUCAAACUCUGAUAUAGCCAGUGGCUAUUGUAGGUGAGAGCACAAGCAUUAGCAUUUGGUGUGGUUAGAUGUCGUCUU